CCCCUAGUAACUGCGAGUGAAGCGGGAAAAGCUCAAAUUUGAAAUCUGACGGUUACGCCGUCCGAGUUGUAUUCUGGAGAAGCGUCUUCCGCGCCGGACCGUGUACAAGUCCCUUGGAACAGGGCGUCAUAGAGGGUGAGAAUCCCGUCUUUGACACGGACCCCCGGUGCUAUGUGAUGCGCUCUCGAAGAGUCGAGUUGUUUGGGAAUGCAGCUCAAAACGGGUGGUAAAUUCCAUCUAAAGCUAAAUAUUGGCGAGAGACCGAUAGCGAACAAGUACCGUGAGGGAAAGAUGAAAAGCACUUUGGAAAGAGAGUAAAACAGUACGUGAAAUUGUUGAAAGGGAAACGCUUGAAGUCAGUCGCGUCUGCCGGAACUCAGCCUUGCUUCUGCUUGGUGCACUUUCCGGUUUGACGGGCCAGCAUCGGUUUCGAGCGGCGGACACUGGCGCGGGGAAGGUGGCAGCUCCGGCUGUGUUAUAGCCCCGCGUCGCGAACGUCUCCCGGGACCGAGGAAUCCGGCGCAAGCCUGGGAUGCUGGCGUAAUGGCUUUAAACGACCCGUCUUGAAACACGGACCAAGGAGUGCUACGUGCUCGCGAGUGUUUGGGUGGAAAACCCGGACGCGAAAUGAAAGUGAAAGUCGAUACCCCUUCGCGGGGGGCACCGACGCCCGAGCCUGAAGUUUACGGAAGGCCUUGCGGUAGAGCGAGUGCGUUGCGACCCGAAAGAUGGUGAACUAUUCCUGAGGAGGGCGAAGCCAGAGGAAACUCUGGUGGAGGCUCGUAGCGGUUCUGACGUGCAAAUCGAUCGCAGGACUUGGG
rnacentral:rRNA from 1 species